AGCGAACGCUGGCGGCAGGCCUAACACAUGCAAGUCGAACGAACUCUUCGGAGUUAGUGGCGGACGGGUGAGUAACACGUGGGAACGUGCCUUUAGGUUCGGAAUAACUCAGGGAAACUUGUGCUAAUACCGAAUGUGCCCUUCGGGGGAAAGAUUUAUCGCCUUUAGAGCGGCCCGCGUCUGAUUAGCUAGUUGGUGAGGUAAUGGCUCACCAAGGCGACGAUCAGUAUCUGGUCUGAGAGGAUGAUCAGCCACAUUGGGACUGAGACACGGCCCAAACUCCUACGGGAGGCAGCAGUGGGGAAUCUUGCGCAAUGGGCGAAAGCCUGACGCAGCCAUGCCGCGUGAAUGAUGAAGGUCUUAGGAUUGUAAAAUUCUUUCACCGGGGACGAUAAUGACGGUACCCGGAGAAGAAGCCCCGGCUAACUUCGUGCCAGCAGCCGCGGUAAUACCAAGGGGGCUAGCGUUGCUCGGAAUUACUGGGCGUAAAGGGAGCGUAGGCGGACAUUUAAGUCAGGGGUGAAAUCCCGGG
rnacentral:rRNA from 1 species